CCUACGGGUGGCAGCAGUGAGGAAUAUUGGUCAAUGGACGAGAGUCUGAACCAGCCAAGUAGCGUGAAGGAUGACUGCCCUAUGGGUUGUAACAUUCUUUUAUAUGGGAAUAAAAUGUUCCACGUGUGGGCUUUGUAUGUACCAUCUGAAUAAGGAUCGGCUAACUCCGUGCCAGCAGCCGCGGUAAUACGGAGGAUCCGAGCGUUAUCCGGAUUUAUUGGGGUUAAGGGGAGCGUAGGUGGAUUGUUAAGUCGGUUGUGAAAGUUUGCGGCUCAACCGUAAAAUUGCAGUUGAAACUGGCAGUCUUGAGUACAGUAGAGGUGCGCGGAAUUCGUGGUGUAGCGGUGAAAUGCUUAGAUAUCACGAAGAACUCCGAUUGCGAAGGCAGCUCACUGGACUGCAACUGACACUGAGGCUCGAAAGUGUGGGUAUCAAACAGGAUUAGAUACCCGUGUAGUC
rnacentral:rRNA from 1 species